AGACAAGAAAGCAGUUCGAACAAGAGUUAUUGAAAGCGAAACAGGACGUAGAGAACUCUGAAAAGAAAUCAGUUCGAGCAAGAGUUACUGAAAGCAAAACAGGACAUAGAGAAAUCUGAAAACACAAGGAAGCUGUUCGAACGAGAUUUACUGAAAGCGAAACAGGACAUAGAGAAAUACGAAAA